ACUCCUACGGGAGGCAGCAGUGGGGAAUAUUGCACAAUGGGGGAAACCCUGAUGCAGCCAUGCCGCGUGUGUGAAGAAGGCCUUCGGUUGUAAAGCACUUUCAGUAGGAGGAAGGUAGUGUAGUUAACACCUGCAUUAUUUGUACGUUACCUACAGAAGAAGCACCGGCUAACUCCGUGCCAGCAGCCGCGGUAAUACGGAGGGUGCGAGCGUUAAUCGGAAUUACGUGGCGUAAAGCGCAUGCAGGCGGCCUGUUAAGUCAGAUGUGAAAGCCCGGGGACUUAACCGUCGGAAUUGCAUUUGAAACUGGACAGGCUAGAGUCUUGUAGAGGGGUUAGGAA
rnacentral:rRNA from 1 species